rnacentral:rRNA from 1 species
GGCAACGACCAUACCACGUUGAAUAUACCAGUUCUCGUCCGAUCACUGAAGUCAAGCAACGUCGGGCGCGGUCAGUACUUGGAUGGGUGACCGCUUGGGAACACCGCGUGUCGUUGCCA